UGCGUAGGUGGUGGGGUAAGUCUCGUGUGAAAGCUCGCAGCUUAACUGCGAAAAGUCACGGGAUACUAUUCCGCUAGAGGCUUGGAGGGGGGACUGGAAUACUUGGUGUAGCAGUGAAAUGCGUAGAUAUCAAGUGGAACACCAGUGGCGAAGGCGAGUCCCUGGACAAGACCUGACACUGAGGCACGAAAGCCAGGGGAGCAAACA
rnacentral:rRNA from 1 species